GGUGGUUGUAGCUCAGUUGGUUAGAGCGACGGAUUGUGGUUCCGUAGGCCGCGGGUUCGAAUCCCGUCUUCCACCC
rnacentral:tRNA from 1 species